rnacentral:rRNA from 1 species
CGCCGCGGUAAUACGUAGGGGGCAAGCGUUAUCCGGAAUUAUUGGGCGUAAAGAGUACGUAGGUGGUAAUUUAAGCGCAGGGUUUAAGGCAAUGGCUCAACUAUUGUUCGCCCUGUGAACUGGACUACUUGAGUGCAGGAGGGGAAAGCGGAAUUCCUAGUGUAGCGGUGAAAUGCGUAGAGAUUAGGAGGAACACCGGUGGCGAAGGCGGCUUUCUGGACUGCAACUGACACUGAGGUACGAAAGCGUGGGUAGCAAACAGGAUUAGAUACCCUGGUAGUCCACGCCGUAAACGAUGAGCACUAGGUGUCGGGGUCGCAAGGCCUCGGUGCCGGAGUUAACGCAAUAAGUGCUCCGCCUGGGGAGUACGGCCGCAAGGCUAAAACUCAAAGGAAUUGACGGGGACCCGCACAAGCAGCGGAGCAUGUGGUUUAAUUCGAAGCAACGCGAAGAACCUUACCGGGACUUGACAUCCUUCUGACAGACCCUUAACCGGGUCCUCCUACGGGCAGAAGAGACAGGUGGUGCAUGGCC